UUAAUACCUUAUUGUUGCGUUUACUUUCUUCUCAUCAUCUAGAAUGGUUAGGUAAUGACUUAACCCAAAUAAAAGAUAAAACUAAGGCAUCACUUGUAGUAAGCUUUUCGGCAAAAAUAUAUCAACCAAGUACACCAAAAAGCUAUCAUGUACUUCCAAGAAAAACUAUUAUAUUGGUUAGUCGGGUAAGACUUGCUGAGUACCCCGUACUCAGGGUUAUCCCUUGUGGCUAUCUUUUCAGAAGCACCGCAGGAGUCCACCGAGGAGGAAGCCCCGAAACCCUAGGGUAUUGUUAUGAGUCUCACAAAUACCCUUAGAAGAAGUUUUAUAAUGCUCAUCUCCUCCCGAAC
rnacentral:lncRNA from 1 species